rnacentral:rRNA from 1 species
AUUGAACGCUGGCGGCAUGCUUUACACAUGCAAGUCGAACGGCAGCGCGGGCUUCGGCCUGGCGGCGAGUGGCGAACGGGUGAGUAAUGCUUCGGAACGUGCCCAGUAAUGGGGGAUAACCCGGAGCAAGCCGGAUAAAUACCGCAUACGACCUGAGGCUGUAAGCGGGGGACCGAAAGGCCUCGCGCUAUUGUAGCGGCCGAUGUCGGAUUAGCUAGUUGGUGGGGUAAAGGCUUACCAAGGCGACGAUCCGUAGCUGGUCUGAGAGGACGACCAGCCACACUGGGACUGAGACACGGCCCAGACUCCUACGGGAGGCAGCAGUGGGGAAUUUUGGACAAUGGGGGCAACCCUGAUCCAGCCAUGCCGCGUGCGGGAAGAAGGCCUUCGGGUUGUAAACCGCUUUUGUUCGGGAAGAAAUCCUCUGGGCUAAUACCCCGGGGGGAUGACGGUACCGGAAGAAUAAGCACCGGCUAACUACGUG